AGAGUUUGAUCCUGGCUCAGGAUGAACGCUAGCGGCAGGCCUAAUACAUGCAAGUCGAACGGUGAUAGCAAUAUCAUAGUGGCGCACGGGUGCGUAACACGUAUGCAACCUACCUAUUAUUGGGGGAUAGCCUUUGGAAUCGGAGAUUAAUACCGCAUAAUACGAUUGACUGGCAUCGGUUGAUUGUUAAAGCUUCGGCGAUAAUAGAUGGGCAUGCGUCCAAUUAGUUAGUUGGUUAGGUAACGGCUGACCAAGACGAUGAUUGGUAGGGGAUCUGAGAGGAUAAUCCCCCACACUGGCACUGAGAUACGGGCCACACUCCUACGGGAGGCACCAGUAGGGAAUAUUGGGCAAUGGGCGGAAGCCUGACCCACCCAUGCCGCGCGCGCGAAGAAGGCGUUAUGCGUUGUAAACUGCUUUUUUAUAGGAAGAAGGAUCCCUUGCCAGGGAAGGUGACGGUACUAUAAUAAUAAGCACCGGCUAACUCCGUGCCAGCAGCCGCGGUAAUACGGAGGGUGCAAGCGUUGUCCGGAUUUAUUGU
rnacentral:rRNA from 1 species